rnacentral:tmRNA from 1 species
GGGGGCGACCUGGCUUCGACGUGGGUUGCAAAGCAACGUUGUGCAUGCCGAGGUUCAGUUACCUCGUAAAUCCGCUGAAAACAAACAAACGCCAACGACGAGCGUUUCGCUCUCGCCGCCUAAACCGGCGAGCUUUGCACCGGUUUGCUGAUGGGCCGGGCCGGGUAACCGGCAGCAAAGUCAGAUACAUGAGCUAGGGCCUGGUUUCGCUGCGCGACCAAGCAUGAAAAAAAAGCAGAUCGUCCGAAACGAGCCUGUCCGAUUGGCGCGCCAGGACCAAAUCCAAAUAACCGGACUAAGCAUGUAGAUCGUGUUGCAGAGGACUUGCGGACGCGGGUUCGAUUCCCGCCGCCUCCACCA